rnacentral:misc_RNA from 1 species
GAUGAAGAACGUAGCGAAAUGCGAUAAGUAAUGUGAAUUGCAGAAUUCAGUGAAUCAUCGAAUCUUUGAACGCACAUUGCGCCCCCUGGUAUUCCGGGGGGCAUGCCUGUCCGAGCGUCAUUACAACCCUCAAGCUCAGCUUGGUGUUGGGCCCCGCCGCCCCGGCGGGCCCUAAAGUCAGUGGCGGUGCCGCCCGGCUCCGAGCGUAGUAAUUCUUCUCGCUCUGGAGGUCCGGUCGUGUGCUCGCCAGCAACCCCCAAUUUUUUUCAGGUUGACCUCGGAUCAGGUAGGGAUACCCGCUGAACUUAAGCAUAUCAAUAAGCGGAGGA